UGACGCGUGUGCUACAAACGG
rnacentral:misc_RNA from 1 species